rnacentral:rRNA from 1 species
GUCGAGCGGAACCAUUGGGAGCUUGCUCCUUUGGUUUAGCGGCGGACGGGUGAGUAACACGUGGGCAACCUGCCCUGCAGAUCGGGAUAACUCCGGGAAACCGGUGCUAAUACCGAAUAGUUUGCGGCCUCUCAUGAGGCUGCACGGAAAGACGGUUUCGGCUGUCACUGCAGGAUGGGCCCGCGGCGCAUUAGCUAGUUGGUGGGGUAACGGCCUACCAAGGCGACGAUGCGUAGCCGACCUGAGAGGGUGAUCGGCCACACUGGGACUGAGACACGGCCCAGACUCCUACGGGAGGCAGCAGUAGGGAAUCUUCCGCAAUGGGCGCAAGCCUGACGGAGCAACGCCGCGUGAGGGACGAAGGCCUCUGGGCUGUAAACCUCUUUUCUCAAGGAAGAAGACAUGACGGUACUUGAGGAAUAAGCACCGGCUAACUCCGUGCCAGCAGCCGCGGUAAU